CCCUUUCAGAAAGUUAAAAUCUCUAAUAGGCAAGAGGAAGUCAUGGCCUAGAACCCAGGAACCUCUCUUUUCAGAGGUCACUACAAAUCUUCCUUAACAGUUCCUUUCCUCAAGGGAUAACUCAAUGCAAAGUAACUGGCAUCUUGUCACUCUAACUUAUCAGAGACCAGGAUCCAGUCCAGCACCAGGUGGACUACUUGGGCCUCAGAUAGCAGUCCUCAAAGAGCAACACCAACCAGCAAGAUCAUUCAGGAAGGGAUAGUUACAGGGUUAAUGUGCAGAAGUAGUCCAGGCACCAACACCAGCUGAGAAUCAUCCCCAUAGUGGUGAAGAACAUGCAAGAACAAAGCCUAGAGACUGCAUCUAUCUCACCCUCACUUUCCUGUAUCUUGGAAUCUCUUCAGUGCCCUCUGACAACUGCAGAACUGUCAGCAUGAGGAGGGCCUAGUCCCUAUCUGCAGCUCUGAGUCUUCUCAGAGAAUAGAAGUUCUCUCUAAUAAGAGAGAAGGCCAAGAAGCCUAAGACUCAGCCACACUGGGCCUAAUCUGGGAAGCACAACCUACAUAAGCCAGCACUUAGUCCUGUAUCUGGCUGCCAGGAGCUGAGAACUAGUACCACAGACUGGGACCCAGAGAGGAAAUGCUCCACACACUGAAUAGAAAUCAUGUUCCUGAAGUACACUUGGUCCUGGUUCCCGUGGGGUGCAAGCAGCAGGAGGCUGGCUUUGGCUGGGACUUUGAGCUGGACUCAGGCUGGUCCCAUCAGGUGGAUGAAAGAUCUAGUUUGGUGGAUGUGGCCACAAAGAGGUGCAGACUGCACAGAGCCAGCCUGGGUCAGCAAAGGGUAUGGAAGCCCAGGUUCAUUGCGCCCUAUUCCUGAGGAGCCAGCUAUGUUCAUGCUGUCAGACUGUGAUGGACCCUGGCACUGAGAAGGGCUUCCAGAACCAAGGAAAAGGGAGUCCGCACCCUCUCUUCAGCGUGCCAUUCUCUAUUUCUCUGGCAUGAAAAUGGAGAAGGGGCCAUAGUGAGAAAGAAGUCUUGAAGUAGAGGGCACCAUCAUGAAUCCGGCUGGCGAGAUGGCUCAGAGGUUAAGAGCACUGACUGCUCUUCCGAAGGUCCUGACUUCAAACCCCAGCAACCACAUGGUGGCUCACAACCAUCUGUAAUGAGAUCUGACGCCCUCUUCUUCUCUCAAACCAGGCAGCUUGGGAGAUUUUGAGCAUUAACUGCUGCUCCCAAGCAAAAGGCUCUACUUUCAGUUUCUGGGAAACUGACUACAUUUUUAAAUUUCUUUGAUUGCAUGUUUUAAAUGACUCCAGUUGGGGGCACUGUUAUCUGGGGAAGGCUGGCUUGGGUGCCCUCUGGGGCUUCUUGGGCCCAGUUCCACUAGGGGACACGUCGCCCAGCCUACCUGUGGGGUAGGUGGCUCUACUUUCCGUUUCUUCUUCUGGUUCUGCUUGUUGGUUCGAGGAUACACCAUGAGCAUCUCUAACCACCUGGGAAGACAGGAUGAGAAAUAGUACCAGGAAGCCUGGAUCUUAGAACUGUUCCAUGUCAGCUGAUAUUUCGGUCAGAUACUUGAGGCUGUGUGUGUGAAGGGAGUGAUUCCUACAACUUCACUAGAAUCCUAAAUCAAGAUUAUCUUCCCACAAGGACCUCAGGAACUGGUUUUGGAUGUGGACAGAGCAUGUAGGCCAAUGGGCCUGGAGUCCACAGAUGAAGAUGAAGAACCAUAACAGCACUGGAGAGGGCACCGAGCAGGCCUCCAUGGUAUGCUGACAGAACAGAUGACAGAGAAGUAACCUAGGAGAGAGGCUCAAGAGCAGAGCCAGGACCCCAAGAAACAAGUGUUCUUCAUUCACCCAUGGACAAGACACAUCGUAUUUCUGAGACAGAAAACUAUCGCUAUGAGGAUUGUGAGAACUGAGUGACAGAAGCUGUGCCGACAGCCAGUAGUGACCAGAUGAAAGGAACUGCAAAGGAUGCCUCUUCUUCUCUACUGCUGGAACUCUUUCCCAGUCCUUGGGAUUAAAACACUGACAAUGG
rnacentral:lncRNA from 1 species